GUGUUCCUGAGAGUUCCCUUGACCACUUCAUGAGGGAUUACUUCGCUGUUUGAAGCCCUACUGAAGUGUUUGGGGGAACUCCUGGGUUCAC
rfam:Capsicum annuum cultivar Zunla-1 chromosome 11, whole genome shotgun sequence